rnacentral:rRNA from 1 species
GUCCACGCUGUAAACGAUGGGCACUAGGCGCUGGGGGGAGCGACCCUCCCGGUGCCGUCGCUAACGCAAUAAGUGCCCCGCCUGGGGAGUACGGCCGCAAGGUUGAAACUCAAAGGAAUUGACGGGGGCCCGCACAAGCGGUGGAGCAUGUGGUUUAAUUCGAUGCAACGCGAAGAACCUUACCUGGGCUUGACAUGCACGUGAAAGUCCGUGGAAACACGGAUCCUCCUUCGGGACGCGUGCACAGGUGCUGCAUGGCUGUCGU